rnacentral:lncRNA from 1 species
UUCACAGCCAUUUUCCAGGGAUGCCCAUUCCUGCUGGGGUAGCCAGCUGUGACCAGGUCAGUGUGGAAAGUGAGCCCUGGGAGACCUGAGGCCUGAGGCCCUGGGCUUCCGCUUGACCUGGCUGGGUCAGCCGUGGGAGGCAGAGCCUGGCUCUGUUUAUCCAGGCCGGACACUUCCGGAGCAGAUGGGCGCCUGUCAGAGCCACCAGCCAGGAACUGGGCUGACGUCCUCUCAUUGCCAAGUGGCAGUUCUGGGGCCAGCAUUGAACGCAAGGUGUCAGCAAGUCUCCUGCCAGAGGUCCUGACGGAGGGGCUGUUCCAGGCCAUGCUCCUGGCUUCCGGUGGUUGCCGGCAACCCUGUGCAUUCCCUGCUUGUAGAGAUGAGAAAAUGGAGGUACCAAAAAGUGGGCUCUGAACUGCAGAGCCUGGCUCCAGAGCCCUUGUAUUUGACUACUGGGAUCCACCGUUAUUCUCACAGCCGCGUUUCCCACAGGGCUGCUUUGUAUGGCCUCUUAGAAAAGUCCUGCCUGUCUCCACCAUCCAGACUAUGAUGUCCGUGAGGUCAGAGGAAAGGGAGAAUGUCUCACAUACAGAAAAUGCUUGAUCAACAUUGAUGGAAUCAUAAAUGGGCCUCAGCGGCACCUGUCCUGAGUCAGCAUCUCACAGAGGUUUUGCCAGCGCCAGCCACAUCUCCAGCAUGAAGGUGAUUGUCUGAGUGUGUCCAGUCCAGUUCCUGCCUUAAUAAAAAUCACUGCUGCAAGGGAGAGGGCUGCCAAGGCCCUGCCUCCCUCCAACCCCAUCCUAGCCUGAGUCUUAACCAUUCUUCCAAUCCAGUUCCACUUUGGGCCAGUGCUUAACCCAGGGUAGCAC